rnacentral:rRNA from 1 species
AGUGAACGCUGGCGGCGUGCUUAACACAUGCAAGUCGAGCGAAGUGGUAGCUGUAGCAAUACAGUGUACGCUUAGCGGCAGACGGGUGAGUAACACGUGGAUAACUUUCCUCUUUGAGGGGGAUAGCCCGCCGAAAGGCGGGGUAAUACCCCAUAAGAUUCAUUGGUGGCAUCAUCGAUGAAUGAAACAUCCGCAAGGAUGGCUGAGAGAUAGAUCUGCGGCCUAUCAGCUAGUUGGUGAGGUAACGGCUCACCAAGGCUAUGACGGGUAACCGGCCUGAAAGGGCGGACGGUCACACUGACACUGAGACACGGGUCAGACACCUACGGGUGGCAGCAGUGAGGAAUCUUGGACAAUGGGGGCAACCCUGAUCCAGCGACGCCGCGUGAAGGAUGAAGGUCUUCGGAUUGUAAACUUCUUUUGUUUGGGAUUAAGAAAUCUGUAGAAAUACGGAAAGUGAAUGUACCAGAUGAAUAAGCCACGG